ACAGUUUGAUCCAGUCUCAUAGUGAACGCUGGCGGCAGGCCUAAUACAUGCAAGUCGAACGGCUGUAGCAAUACAGCAGUGGCAGACGGGUGAGUAACACGUGGGAACCUACCUAGGGGUACGGAAUAACUCAGGGAAACUUGUGCUAAUACCGUAUACGACCUCAGGGUGAAAGAUUUAUCGCCCCUAGAUGGGCCCGCGCUGGAUUAGCUAGUUGGUGGGGUAAAAGCCUACCAAGGCGACGAUCCAUAGCUGGUCUGAGAGGAUGAUCAGCCACACUGGGACUGAGACACGGCCCAGACUCCUACGGGAGGCAGCAGUAGGGAAUCUUGGACAAUGGGCGAAAGCCUGAUCCAGCCAUGCCGCGUGAGUGAUGAAGGCCUUAGGGUUGUAAAGCUCUUUCGCCAGGGAAGAUAAUGACGGUACCUGGAUAAGAAGCCCCGGCUAACUUCGUGCCAGCAGCCGCGGUAAUACGAAGGGGGCUAGCGUNGUUCGGAAUUACUGGGCGUUAAGCGCACGUAGGCGGCAUUCCCAAGUGGAGGUGAAAUCCCCGGGCUUACC
rnacentral:rRNA from 1 species